GCUGCAGGGCUGUUGUAAUCAUGGCCCACACUUUGUUUUUCUUCUUUUUUUUUUAUAUAUUGUAGUCGUUUAGUAGACACUCUUAUCCAGAGCUACUUAGUUAGUGCAUCCAUCUUCAGAUAGCUAGGUGGAACAACCACACAUCUCAGUCAUAGUAAGUACAUUUUUCCUGAAAGUAGUUAUCAGCAAAAUCAGAGUUAGUAAGGGGGGAAUCAAGUGCAAGUGUUGGUUCUGGAACGGUCUAAUCUACAUGGUGUCAAUGUUACAUGACAGGUCUAAUCUACAUGGUGUUGAUGUUACAUGACAGGUCUAAUCUACAUGGUGUCAAUGUUACAUGACAGGUCUAAUCUACAUGGUGUCAAUGUUACAUGACAGAUCUAAUCUACAUGACAGAUCUAAUCUACAUGGUGUCAAUGUUACAUGACAGGUCUAAUCUACAUGACAGGUCUAAUCUACAUGGUGUUGAUGUUACAUG